rnacentral:piRNA from 1 species
UUAAACGGCUGGCUUCUUGUUUG